rnacentral:lncRNA from 1 species
AACUCGCCAGUCUCAGUUAUUGUUCUUGCAAACAACAACUUCCAUGGGUGUGUGCCAGCCAGCCUUGGUAACAUGUCCAAGAAUUUGAACGAAGUGGUGCUCACAAACAACGGCUUCCACUCGUGCUUGCCAAAGGAAAUAGGGAUGCUGAAGGAUGUAACUGUGUUUGAUGUGAGCUAUAAUCGGAUUGUCGGUGAGUUGCCAGAGGCAGUGGGUGAAAUGGUGAGCUUGGAGAAGCUCAAUGUGGCUCAUAACAUGCUAAGAGGGAACAUACCUGAGAGCGUUUGUGAGCUUCAGAACCUGAGGAACUUUAGCUUUGAGCACAACUUCUUCACUAGUGAGCCACCAAUGUGUUUGAAAUUGGAGAAGUUUGAUGACAGCAAGAAUUGCUUGCGGCGUAGGCCAAAGCAGAGAACCAUGUUGC